CCUACGGGAGGCAGCAGUGAGGAAUAUUGGUCAAUGGGCGUAAGCCUGAACCAGCCAAGCCGCGUGAAGGAUGAAGGACCUAUGGUUUGUAACCUUCUUUUAUAGGGGAGUAAAGUCAUUCACGUAUGCAUAUUUGCAUUUACCCUAUGAAUAAGCAUCGGCUAACCCCGUGCCAGCCGCCGCGGUAAUACGGAGGAUGCGAGCGUUAUCCGGAUUUAUUGGGUUUAAAGGGUGCGUAGGUUGUUUUUUAAGUCAGCGGUGAAAGUUUGUGGCUCAACCAUAAAAUUGCAUUUGAUACUGGAAGACUGGAGUGUGUGUGAGGUAGGUGGAAUUCGUGGUGUAGCAGUGAAAUGCGUAGAUAUCUGGAAGAACUCCGAUGGCGAAGGCAGCUUACUAGGACAUAACUGACACUGAUGCACGAAAGCGUGGGGAGCAAACAGGAUUAGAUACCCUAGUAGUC
rnacentral:rRNA from 1 species